rnacentral:rRNA from 1 species
AUUGAACGCUGGCGGCAGGCUUAACACAUGCAAGUCGAGCGGGGACUUCGGUCCUAGCGGCGAACGGGUGAGGAAUGCUUGGGAAUCUGCCCAGUAGCGGGGGAUAACGUUUCGAAAGGAACGCUAAUACCGCAUACGCCCUACGGGGGAAUGGGGGGGAUCUUCGGACCUCUCACUAUUGGAUGAGCCCAAGUCGGAGUAGCUAGUUGGUGAGGUAAAGGCUCACCAAGGCGACGAUCCGUAGCUGGUCUGAGAGGAUGAUCAGCCACACUGGAACUGAGACACGGUCCAGACUCCUACGGGAGGAAGCAGUGGGGAAUAUUGGACAAUGGGCGAAAGCCUGAUCCAGCCAUGCCGCGUGUGUGAAGAAGGCCUUCGGGUUGUAAAGCACUUUAAGCGAGGAGGAAUGGCUCCGGGUUAAUACCCUUGAGCAUAGACGUUACUCGCAGAAAAAGCACCGGCUAACUCUGUGCCAGCCGCCGCGGUAA